AUGGCAAAAGUGAGAAUAUCUCACACACACACAACAGAGGGGGAAGAGAUAGAGAAAUUGGCAAAUGUGAGAUCAUGCUAAGCAGCUUGAACUGAAAGUGACUGGAAAUGUUUACGUUAGAUCAGCCACCCAUCCAUUCUCUGCUGUGUUUCUUUUCCAGUGUCACAGGGCAGCUCGAGCCUAUCCCAGCUAUCUUAGGGCGAGAAGCAGGGUGCACCCUCGACAGGUCACCAGUCUGUUACAGGGCUAACACAUAGACGCAGAAAACCAUUCGCACCUAUCGCCAAUUUACACUCUUCGAUUACCUAUUGCCACUAACUGCAGGUCGUUGGACUGUGGCAGGAAGCCGGAGUACAAGGAAAGAACCCACGCAAACACAGGAAGAACAUGCAAACUCCACACAGAGCGACGGUAGAGCUGAACUCAAGACCUUCUUCCUGUGCGGUAACGGUGCUAACCACUGUGCCGCCCGCGUAAGAGGAGAGCCACUGAGGGAACGCCUUCCGCCCUCCGACGCCUCCACCGUGACCUCCACUUCUGAGAGGAAUUGCCCACAGAUCAAGCAUGGAGUGUGCCUGAAUGGACAUACAGAACUCCAAGGUUCGGCCCAGUGUUGAGGGUUUUCCCAAAGGAGAGGGCCCGGCGGGCGGUGCCUCACAGCCCUCUGCCUCUGGGAGUGGCCCCUUUCUACUAAGGAGGCAAGAGGUGGCCAGGAGUCUGUCAGCGAGUUCUGCAUGUCCUGGUGACCCUCCACCUGUUUCACAGUGUCACAGGGCAGCUCGAGCCUAUCCCAGCUAUCUUAGGGCGAGAAGCAGGGUGCACCCUCGACAGGUCACCAGUCUGUUACAGGGCUAACACAUAGACGCAGAAAACCAUUCGCACCUAUCGCCAAUUUACACUCUUCGAUUACCUAUUGCCACUAACUGCAGGUCGUUGGACUGUGGCAGGAAGCCGGAGUACAA